UGAAUACGGAUGGUUGGUCGGAUGGACGGCGACGACGUUCGGCGGGGGGGGCGCCCGCCGCAGAAGGAGUCGACGCGACGCGACGCGACGCGACGCGACGACGACGAACGGCGCGGCGGGCGCUCUUCGUCGAUCGCGGAGGGAGGGUGGAGGACGAUGAACGAUUCAUCGCAUCAUGUAAUACGACGUGGCGACUACGCGCAUUCAUUCAUCGUCGUCGAUAACGACGCCCUCUCUGCUAAAUUAAAAGAAACCACUGCAUCCGUCCGUCCGUCCGUCCGUCGCGUCCACCGUCGUCCGCGGGCGUCCGUCGUCAGUUCUUCUUCCUCUGCGGGGACAAUCGCGCGGAUCGCGCGGCGUCUUUCGUCUCCCCGGCGUAGUACGCGUCGCGCGUGUUCGCCACCUGAGCGGAGAGGAGAGGGAAGGCGAAGGGAGGCGAGUGAGAGGAGGAAGGAAGGAAGCGCGAGAGGGAGAGAGAGAUGAGAUCAUUUCAUCCCAUCGCGUCAUCGCUCGGCCGACGAAGUCCUUAAGGAACGGCGUUCACCACGCGAACGCGGUCGUAUGGGAACCAGUCACGACGACGACGACGACGACGACGACGACGACGAAGUCCUUAAGGAACGGCGUUCACCACGCGAACGCGGUCGUAUGGGAACCAGUCACGACGUCGCCGCACCUCCUGUUCCCGCUGUCUGACGCUCCUGAACGCGAGCGGCGCUCCCGCGAGGGCGAGCCCGAUCGCGACGCCGACGAGCACGUAGGUCUGUCUCGCCGCGGGCUGGGUCAUCGGAGGCCUCGGAGGCAUCGUCGACGACGCGGCGCCGGCGCGGGCGUCGAGUGAUGACGACGACGACGACGAUUGAGGCCGCACGGCAGGUUCGUUGGCCAUGACCUGUUUUUUUUUCGCGCG
rnacentral:lncRNA from 1 species